AACCAACAUACACAGUUAGGAUCCGAAUGACUAGAGAUCAAGAAAAUAUGCAGUCAAACUAAGUAGCCUCACUAUGAAUAGCCAACACACCACAGGUCAAAGAAACAAUCAUACCUCACAGUAUCGAGAAAAUUACUAAUGAGUGAGUAGACAUCUAAAUAAUUUCUCGUGUUGGUCACGCUCAUGCAAGUUGUUCUCUAAUAAUCACCUGCACUUUCACCCCAGUGUCCCCACGCUGCAGACUCGAGAUCUAUCUACCCAAAAGGGAGAUGAAUCGUGCAUCAAUUUUAAAUAGAUUGAUUACUAUCCUCCAUGACGAUCCU
rnacentral:lncRNA from 1 species